CAGCCGCCGCGGUAAUACCGGCGGCCCGAGUGGUGGCCGCUAUUAUUGGGCCUAAAGCGUCCGUAGCCGGGCCCGUAAGUCCCUGGCGAAAUCCCACGGCUCAACCGUGGGGCUUGCUGGGGAUACUGCGGGCCUUGGGACCGGGAGAGGCGGGGGGGACCCCCGGGGGAGGGGGGGAAUCCUAUAAUCCCGGGAGGACCACCUGUGGCGAAGGCGCCCGGCUGGAACGCGUCCGACGGUGAGGGACGAAGGCCAGGGGAGCAAACCGGAUUAGAUACCCGGGUAGUCCUGGCUGUAAACGAUGCGGACUUUGUGUCGGACAAGCUAUGAGCUUGUCCGGUGCCGGAGGGAAACCGUUAAGUCCGCCGCCUGGGGAGUACGGCCGCAAGGCUGAAACUUAAAGGAAUUGGCGGG
rnacentral:rRNA from 1 species